GAUGAAGAACGCAGCGAAAUGCGAUACGUAAUGUGAAUUGCAGAUUUCAGUGAAUCAUCGAAUCUUUGAACGCACAUUGCGCCCGCCAGUAUUCUGGCGGGCAUGCCUGUUCGAGCGUCAUUUCAACCAUCAAGCCCCCGGCUUGUGUUGGGGACCUGCGGCUGCCGCAGGCCCUGAAAACCAGUGGCGGGCUCGCUAGUCACUCCGAGCGUAGUAAUACAUCUCGCUCAGGGCGUGCUGCGGGUUCCGGCCGUUAAAAAGCCUUAUUUACCCAAGGCUGACCUCGGAUCAGGUAGGAAGACCCGCUGAACUUAAGCAUAUCAAUAAGCGGAGGA
rnacentral:misc_RNA from 1 species